rnacentral:rRNA from 1 species
AUUGAACGCUGGCGGCAGGCUUAACACAUGCAAGUCGAGCGGGGAAGGGUAGCUUGCUACCUAACCUAGCGGCGGACGGGUGAAUAAUGCUUAGGAAUCUGCCAUUUAGUGGGGGACAACAUUCCGAAAGGAAUGCUAAUACCGCAUACGUCCUACGGGAGAAAGCAGGGGAUCUUCGGACCUUGCGCUAAAUGAUGAGCCUGAGUCGGAUUAGCUAGUUGGUGGGGUAAAGGCCUACCAAGGCGACGAUCUGUAGCGGGUCUGAGAGGAUGAUCCGCCACACUGGGACUGAGACACGGCCCAGACUCCUACGGGAGGCAGCAGUGGGGAAUAUUGGACAAUGGGCGGAAGCCUGAUCCAGCCAUGCCGCGUGUGUGAAGAAGGCCUUAUGGUUGUAAAGCACUUUAAGCGAGGAGGAGGCUACCUAGAUUAAUACUCUAGGAUAGUGGACGUUACUCGCAGAAUAAGCACCGGCUAACUCUGUGCCAGCAGCCGCCGUAAUAC